CUAAAAGGAGUAACAUGAAAUGCAUCAAUAUAAAAUGAGAUGAAAAGAAAAUAGUAGUGCUCAUAAAAAUCCUUUCUGCAAAAUAAUGCAUAAAGACGACCAAUUCAUCAAUGUAAAACAAAUACAAACUGUUCUUUAUAUAGGUCAUAGUUCCAUCAGAGAGCAAUUUCAAACAAUCACAACAACUGAGCACAAGACUUUAUAACAUGGAUGACAAACCAGUCCUCAGAAGGAACCUAAAGAAAUGUGUGAUUCUCGACUCUCCAAGAGAUGUAUGACUAUUCAGUCUUACUGGCAGCUUCUCCAAGAUAGCACAAAAAAUAGCUUCAUGUCUACUGAAGACAGGUGAACUAAGCAGUGUCCAAGGAUUGGUGCUUAGGGAACACCUCAAGUCAUAAACAUAGAAAAUUUAGAAAAAAAGUUAGCAAAUAUAGGAAUCUAAAAAAACCAAUAAAAAUGUAAAAUAAAAAUUGUAACUUACCAUGAUCUUGCUAAGCUGUUGUUUAUCCUCUUUCUACACUCUUAACAUCAACAAUAGAAACAAAAACAAGUAGCAAUAGGAAUUUGCCACAGUCACUAUAGACAUGGAGCCUCCAAAUAUAAAACCCGAAUCCCCUUCGACAAGAAGAAAAAUACUUAUACUCUGACACCUGGGACAUGCACCUUUUAAACCUGCAAACUCCAAAAGAAGAGAUAUGGUUUCAUCAAAUCAAAAAUUUGAGAAACUAAAGCAAAACCAUUUUGUUUCUGCUCAAAUUUGUACAACUAGGCAUAUGUAAAUGUGACAGUAGCUCACAUUUUGGAAACCAAGUGGGAUAUAUUAGAAUAGAUACAAGCUGCUGUUGUUGCUAUGUAAUAAUUCCAUUAGGUAGUUCUGGGCUAUCGCAGUCACAGAGAAAAUACCACUUGGGAUAAAUUGAAAACCAGUUCUUGUGAAAGACAAGUUUCAUGCACUGAAUGGUUCCCAACUUUCAAAGGAAAUAAAAGAUCAUACAACCUUAUGAGCGGCUUCCCCAGGAGGGCAAGAAGAGGUUCUUAUUUAUUAAAGAUGCAAAUGAAAUCUUGAUUCAGAGGACCUCUGUAAAGCACUGAAGAAUCUAUCACAAGUCAUAAAAGGAAGAAAAUUUUACAAAAAUAGUCCUUAGAACACAAUAAUAUAUAGAAUCAACUAUAUAAAUGAAAGUCACGCACCACAAUUUUGCUAGAUUGUAUUUUAUCCUCUUUUAGUCGUACUAAAAAAUGGUAAUAAAGUGCCAAUGAGCCUUUGAUAUAGGAUGAACAUUCCAAUCAGUUAGCACAAUGAAAAGACCACAUGACCUCCUGUGAUACUUUGCACCCAUCCUUUUGACACCUGCAUCAUCAAUGUAAACAAUUUGGUACAUAAAACUGUAAGACUUAUUAUUACCGUUCAGAGGUAGCCGAGUUAAAUGGCAACAAAUUGCAAAUAUAUGUAUGGGAAAUAGAAAGUGAUAUUGAGGAGAGAAAGAGGAAGAAUUGCAUGUUGGGAAUGAGCAUCCAGUGGACAAGAAGAAAAUUCAAGAAAAUUAGUCAUCAAAAUAGAAAAAUAAAUAAACAAAAUAUAUAGAUGACGGUGACUCACUGUAGUCUUGCUGGGUUAUUCUUUGUCCCCUGUUGACACUCAAAAAAAAUAAAAAAAAGAGCAACAGGGGACAACUGGAACUAGCUGCAUUCACUCCAUACUUUGAAGUCUUUGAUAUAAUACCUAGAGUUCCAUCCUCUUUGAGAACCUGCAUCAUAAAUGUAAAAAUUUAAUAACCAGAUGACAAGACACUGGAUAGUAGCUAUGAUGACAUCUAAUAAGUUGAACUAAAAAAAUCAUGGCUGCACAGGGGAAUUGAUAAAGCCAUCUAAUUACCAUAGCAAUCGAACUUUAAUAAACUGCAUUUGCUUCUAGUAUAGCCUCCUCUGUAUGUCAGCCUGAACUCUAUUCUGGAAAUCAGAAAAUUAUACUUAAAAAAUGCAAUUGAAUAGUACAACUGAUGGAAUAAAAAUCAGAAGACAUUGCUAACCAGUGGCUAUUGCUAAAUAUUCCACCUGCCCUUGAAUGGCAUAAAUGGAUCCUCUCUUAUCCUUUUUAUCGUUGUAAGUAUCACAUAUCACCUCUUCAACUUCAAUGGUCACUGAGAACUAAAAAGAACAAAGGAAAAAGGAAAAGUGUGUACCCCAUGGAGAUUAUGGACAAGAUUUACUAAAUAGAAUUGGAGAGGCAGAGGCAGUGAUGCAUACCUAGAAUUGUGUCAAAUUGAAGAGAAAACCAAGCUACAAGCCAUUUCAAAAGCCACUUCCUAGGCAAAUUUUUAACAAAAAGUCUAGUAAGAAACGUACAAGUAAUCAAUUGGGGAAAUUGCUAUAAUGUAUAUGAGAGAUUGAACGCGGUAUUGAGGAGUGAAAGAUAAAGAACAGGCGUACCUUGUUUAAUGUAAAGAUGGGAGAGGGUUGAAUGGUGUUUGCUUCUAUGUUCUGCAAUCCCUCAACUUAUUAUUGCUCAAAGACGUUUUUAUCAUCUAUUUCCACAUAGGGAAUGUGGGCGAUGUUGGGCCAAUCUUGCCCUUUCCCUUUCGAGCACCUUUGUUUUAGGAGCGGGCAGUCUGUGAUAUAUAGUCGUGAAAGCGUGUCAGGCAGCCCUUCCCUUGGGCAAAACGACUGAAGCUUAGGGCAACGUUGGAUCCAUAGAUCUUCAAGUGAGGUGAGGGUUUGGAGAGCCAGGGAGGAUAGAGAUUUCAGAUUCUGGAAAUCUUGAAUGGAAAGAAAGGUGAGGGUUGUAGGAAGAAUCGGUGGUCUUUGACCAUCUGAAAAGGAGGCAACUCGUGGAAAUAUGCCACCAAUGGUGAGUUCUUUAAGAGAGGUAAGUGUGGCAAGGCCCCAUCGGGAUAGGGGCAUCUUGAUAUUCUCACAACGGUAGAUACCAAGUGAUGUAAGAGCAGUGAGGUUUUGCAGUUGAUGAGGUAGCAGCUCCACAUUCUCACAAUUAUUAAUCUCCAGUUCUCUGAGUUUGUAGAGGCAAUCUGGUACAAUUUUGAGACAGGGAUACGACCGGAUACUCAAAUAUUCAAGUGAACUAUUAUUGGAGUGAAACGUCUCCUUUGAAAUCGACUCCAGUUGUGCACAAUCCCAAAUCUCAAGUUUCUUAAGGGUGGAGGGAAACUUGCCUGUGGGGAAGAAUGUGAGAGAUGGACAUUUCCAAAUGUCCAAGACAUGAAGACCACCACUGGUGGCGGUGGUGGUGUUGGAAUCAUGGUGCAUCAUUCCCCCCGGUAGAGACUCUAGCUUUUCACACCUCCAUAUCUUGAGUUCCUUGAGCGUGGUGGGUAACUCACCUUCUGGAAAACCAAUGAGAGAUGGACACGUAUGUAUGUGCAAGUAUUCAAGGAGACACACGUCGCUACCGUUAUUACUACCGUCUUUCAUCACCAUCAUCCAAUCAGGUAGACAUCGUAGACCUUCACAACUAUGAAUAACAAGACGUCUAAGCAUGGGCGGGAACCCCAACUCUGGAAAUGACACCAGCUUUGGACAAUCAUAGAUUUCCAACUCUCCAAGACAUGUUAGCCUGUACAGUCCAUUGGGAAGCUUCUCUAGGUUAUUACACCACCUAAUUUUCAAAGAUUGAAGCUUGCUAGGCAGCUCGUGCUUUUCCUUUUCUCCCAAGGAUACAAGCUCGGGACAACUGCUAGUUUGCAACUGCUGAAUACCAUCAAAUCCAUUUUCCCACAAACACGUCAAUUUAUCACAUCUAUCAAUGUCUAAAACUUGAAGCCCCGACAACAAUUGCAUACAACCUUCAUGUAAUCUGGUGAGCCCUACCAUUCUAUCAAUUCCUAACUCGGUGAGUGAAGGCAAUUCCAAUCCACUCCUUAGUACCGCCUCAUUGCAAUCUUGUACUCUUAAUUUAGAAAGAGAUGGAAGCCUUUCAAGUGGAGACACCAACUGUGGGCAUGUCCCAAUGGAGAAAUGUACAAGGGACGGUAGGUUAGUGGGUAGUUUCUUGAUUAAUUUGGGGCAAUUUAUGAUUUCAAGGUGAAGGAGACAAGGAUAUGGCUCUGAUAAAGAUGGACUCUCCCAAUCUUCCCAUUGUGACAUAGCCGAAAAAGAUAGAGACUCUAAGGACGGGAAAGGCUUAUUGGGAAGACAAGUCUCUCCAUAAAACUCUCUACCCACAAUUUUUACUUCUUUUAACCCUUCAAUCCUUACGUGUUUGAGCAUGGGUAACCACCCCAAACACGGUAAAGAUGUGCAAUUUCUGCAAUUCACCAGAUUUACAUCCACCAUCUUCGAGAAUGAAACAUCUCCUAUCCAAGGGGGAAAUUCUGGACCACCAUAAUACUCAAUUUUUAGUUUGUUCAAAUUGAAGUGUGGCUGUAAAGAGUCAAGUACAUCUUUUUGAUUCCUUGCAUUGUGUGAAUCAUUCAACCCAGCACUCCACUCUAUCGUCAAUUCUUCAAGCUUCUGCUUCUUGUUUAGACUAGCAUCCCUUGCAUCUUGAACAUUUGCUACAUUUUCCAACUUUGAAAUGCAAAGUCCCCCUUGAAGUUGGGGCAUAUUCCUUAACUCCUUUACAUUCAAACCAUUGUCUUUACCCACAAUAAAAUUAGACAAUACUUGUAAGCCUUUUAAUUUGCAAAUUCGUGGAGGCAUUUCUUCUAGAUUUGUAUUGGUCACAUCAAGGUGUCGAAGAUUAUUUAGGUUUCCAAUGCUCAAAGGCAACCUAAUAAGCUUCCGACAAUUUGAUAAUAUUAAUGUCUCUAAGUUAUGGAGGUUACCCAGUGAAUCAGGUAAUCGUUUGACUUUUGUUCUGGAUAAAUUAAGAUACCUAAGGUGUUUCAAAUCACCAACUGAACUUGGUAUCUCACUUAUCCGAUAACCACUCAAUAAAAGCACCCUUAGGCGUCGUAGCUUGGGCAUCAAUCCCUCAAGUACCUUGUUGCUUAACCAAUUAUAAUCCCAUAAUGGAUCAAUUGGUAAUGCAAUAAACGUACGCAAAUUCUCCAUCCCAUAAAAGGCUUCAAACUUUUUGAAGAUAUCGUAUCGGUCACGAAUGAAUGAUGAAUGACGAGCCUUUUUAGAAAUAGUCUGCUGCUGAUUACCUUCCAAAUUCUUUUCCAGAGAAAAACAUAUUUCUCCACCAACAAAUUUUGCUAAAUCGUUAACGAGAUCAUGCAUUACGAAUUGGGAUUUAUUGCUACUUGAUGGUUGAAAAAAUGAUCGAGACAACAAUUCCUGGAAGUAGUUAGCGCCUAAAUCUUCAAUUUCGAUUUGUUGCCUAUGACAUUCUAAGUGUUGAAUUAGACUCUCUGCCAUCCAUAAGCGAAUCAGUUCUCUCUUAUCAAAUUCAUAGUCUUUCGGAAAUAUUGCACAAUAACUGAAACAUCUCUUCAGUGGAGAGGGGAGGUGAUUAUAACUUAAUCUUAAUGCAGGAAGAAUACCGCAUUUAUCACUCGGUAAAUCCCAUAUUUUGCUAGUCAAAAUAACAUUCCACUCAUGUUCUCUCUGUUCAUGGCGUAGAAGACUACCGAGUGCUGUUGCUGCCAAAGGCAAGCCUCCACACUUUUUUACAAUUUCCUUGCCGAUCAAUGCCAAAUUGGAAUGCUCAUCAAUGUUGCUAUUUCCAAAUGCAUGUUUCUUGAACACCGACCAACACUCAUUAUCUGAUAAAUUUUGUAGCUCGUGCAAGUUCUUAUCUCCUUCCAUUAUAUUUGCGACCUUCUUACUCCGUGUCGUGACUAUGAUUUUGCUGCCUCGUGAACCCGACAAAAAGGGAGACUGUAAGCAACGCCAAUCAUUAUAGUUGUCAUUCCACAUAUCAUCGAGAACCAGAAGAAAUUUUUUUCCCUUCAAUUCCUCCCCCAAUUUAUCUUGAAUUUGAUGGAAGUCUAGUGAAUCAGUAUUGCUCUGAGAAGUACUGACCGAGUUGAGGAUUGUCUUGGUUAUUCUCACUGCAUCGAACUGAUCUGAUACACAAACCCAGGCCUUUAGAUCAAAAUGCUUGGCUGUCUCAGGAUGAUCGUACACCAACCUUGCUAGUGUGGUCUUGCCCAUACCACCCAUGGCCACGAUGGAAACUACAGAAACAUUGGUUUCAAUGGGCUCAUCCCUAAGCAGCAUAUCCAUUAUAAUCUGUUUAUCAGCAUCCCUGCCAUAAACCCAAGGUUCGUAUACCAGAGAUGUAGUGAGUGGCCUUUCCCAAGUAGACUGGGUUAUAGCAGCCACCUUGUCCAAACCAAGCCCAGCCUUUUGGGCAUAUAUAGCUUCUAAUCGGGUGGUAAUGUCCUUUAUCUCGCACCCCAUCUUAACAUUACGCAUACAACCAAUAGGAGUGAAAGUAGUACAACAAGUAGGGAUAAACUUGCGUACCUUGCUUGUGCUGCCUUCACCAUCAGCUUCCGCCAUCACCUUUCUUCUUAAAGCUUCGUAGGCAAACUCGUCCAAGAUGUCCUCCAUGUCAUAAACCAAAUCCCUCAGAUCGCCCAGCCACGUUUUCACCGACUGCUUCGUGAUCUGCUUCUCCUCCGCGUCAUUCAGCACUUCAUCAAUCUCCAAUAAUUUUUUCUCCCAUAUUUCGAGCUCGGCGCGGAUUUUCUCUUGGCGUGCAAACUUGAGAUCAGGGGAGCGCAGUUGGUUAAACAAAGCUUGAAGGGAGUAAGAAAGAACAACCUCUGCAACAACUUCCAUGGUUCGUUGGUAGGGAAAGAGAGAGGUAGGAUACCAAGUGGAAACAAGAGAAUAAAAAACAAUUGGUUUGCUCUAUCAAGGCUUCCCCAAUUAUCAAAGACAGUGGACUCUGCUCCUUCAGAGUGGUGGGGCUCACACGUAAAGAAGAAGAAACUAAGGGAAAAGAAGGAAUCCAAGGCAACUGGUGCUAAGUGGAGCCAUUGGAGAGAUAAUUAUUCAAGUCUUGGACCACUCUCCAAUUUCCCACUACACUGGUUUUAGGGGUGGGUGACAUACUCACAUGAAGUGACAGAAAGCAGGGCCCUCUAAUUCAAAGUUUAUUUUACUAUUAAAUAAAUAAAUAAAAAAGUCAUUUUCUUAAAACCCUUCUACAAUUUUCUGACAAAGCAAAUGACUUCUGUAAGCAGGAUACCAUUCUUGUGAAUGGGAAAAGGAAGAAGGUUGAAGGAAGAAGAGUAAACAAGUUUUCCCUUUAUUUUAUAUAGAUUGGUGAUUAGGCUGAAGUAGAGAUACCUUGCUACCUCGCUGCAUCUUCAAACGAUAAUGUUGAUUAAAGAUGAAUUGAAAGCCAUGCUUUGCCUGCGAAGUUUGAUUAGAGAGGAAUCUCUAAAUCAAAUUUUGUGAAACAAUUGGUUUGCUUGCUGUAUCAAGGCUUAGCCAAUUAUCAAAGACUGAAGGUAAGAGAUAAGGAGUUGAAGGCAACAGCUGGCAAGCUGGCAAGUGGAUCCAUUGGACAUGAUUUGAUUAUUCAAGUCUUGGACCACCCUGCAAUUUUCCACACCGCACUGGGUGGUGGGUCAGAGAGUUAAGGAUAACGUCAGAAAACCAAACAUGAAGCGACGGAAAGCAGGGCCCCUGUACGAAAAUAUUACUCUGCAACAAUCAAAAUAAUCAAAGAAUCAUGCAUUGAAAAAUUGCAAGCUAAUGUUGUUAAAUUUUAAAAAAUAUGAAUUCAGAAAUUAUUUGUAAAUAUUUAGAAAUUGCUAAUGUUGGCUUUAGUUCAAUUUCACAAAAAUAGAAUCAUGCAUUGAAAAAUUGAUUUGAAGUUGAAGUUUUACAAUUUCCUUAUUUAUUUUCUAGGAGUUCAUAUAGGAAUAAGUUACAAAUACAUGGGAGGAACUUACAAAGAUGUAAACAAGUAAUUAGGUUAAGGACUCCACUUCCAAGCAGGCCAUGUGCUUUUAAGGAUAGAAAAAAAAUUGUUUAACACAUUAAUAAGAACAAAUAAUUUAAUGUUUAAGAAUAUUAAAAUAUGAAUAAAAAUAAACAAUUUAAUCUUAGCCAGAUUGUGUUCUAUUUAAAAUUCAAUAAAAAUCUAUUUAAAUUUAAGAUAGAGAAACAAACUAGAUAUAAUUUUUUCACUUCUUAUAUUUUAAAAUAUUUUUUAAUUAAGCAUUCUUAAUAAUAUUUUUAUUUCUUAUAAAAAAAGUUAUAAUUAUUUCAUGGAUGAUUAUUAACUUUUUUUUUUAAGAGAAAGAUAUAUCGUUGAAAUAGUUUUUAAGAAAAGACAAUGAAAUAGAAUCUGAAAGUUGAAUUAUUGAAAAUAUUGUAACCUCUAAAGAUAAAAUGAAAAUACUAAAACAUUGAGUGAUGAAAUUUAGGUUAUUGAAUAAAAAUAUAAAUAAAUUAGAUCAAAAUAUAAAAAUACAAAUAAUCGAGACAUAUGUGAUGCGUGAGACAUGCUAAAUAAAAAAUUUUGCUCCCACAAUUUCUAUAAUAUUAAAAGAAAGUCAAUUUUUUAAUAAUCUCUUUCCAUCUUUUGGUACACGCAAUAGAAUAAAAUAUAACCAUAAUUCUAUACAUUUCUUUCACGGGAAAAAAAGAAGGAAAAAACUUGGGGUGCUGGCACAUUGGGUGUCCACAAGUGGACCUUGUAUUCAAUUAUUGGUAAGAGAUGGCCCGGAUAGGUGGCAAUUAUUGGGGCUCUUUUACUUAAUAGAAUAGAUUUAUAAAAUAAUUUUAAAAAUGACUUCAAAAAGUAUAUUGAAGUCUAUGAUAAUUGUUAAAUGUUGUCGAUUUGAUUUUACUUCUAAUAAGAAAUCUUUUUUAUUUUAGUAUGGAAACUUUUUAAAACAGUGAUUUACUUCCAUUGAUUUAAUGAUAUUAUUAAAUUAAAUUUAAAAAGAUUUGUUAAAAGUAAGUUUUUUUAUUAAGGUAGAGUUGGAUUCGAAGUUUUAAAAUUAAGUUAAAAUAUCUUAAUUAAUUUUUGACAAUUUUGAGGUUUUAUUUUAAAAAAAUUUCUUAAUUAAUUUAUAGAAAAUUAAUAUUUUACUUUUUAAACAAAAAUUAUUUUGUUAAUUAAUUUUUGAAAAUUUGAUUUUUUUUUUUUAAGAAAUUCAAUUUCAAACCAUCUAGGCUCUUAGGCCUAUAUAUAUUAUCUAAAUGUGUUUUUGGGUUGGAUGCUUUAAUAAAAUUAACCUCAACUUGCUCUAUCAUUCAUAAACUCUCAACAAAGAAUUCACUAAUCAAAUCCCAUAGUUUUUUAUUUCCAUAAUUAAUAUGAUGAUUUUCCACAUAAAAUUGAUUGUCUUGUAUGUAAUUGUGAUUUUAUUAUUUAUAUGGAUAUGUGAAAUUGACAAUAUUGCCCCUAGCCUCAAGCAUAGGGUGUUACAAACAUCCUUAUUUAUCGACUCUCAACAUGAUUAUACUUUUCAUAGUAACUUAGCAUGAAAAUCUUUCAAUUGUCAUAUUCUAACAUUAUCUAUAAGUUUCUUGAGUAUUGAAAUUGACAAUGCUUUUGUGAAUAAGUUUGUUAAAUUAUCAUUUGAUACUUUCUGAAUACUAAUUUUAUUACUCUUGUGGAGUUUAUGAAUAUAAAAGAACUUGAAUGAUAUAUGGUUACUUUAGUUUGAGUUUUCCUCUUUUUAUCAUUAUGGCCUAUAUGAUUCUUAUUGAUCUAAAAAUUAAAUUUAAAAAAUUAGGCAAGAGAUUAACCUACUUACAAUUUAUUAAGCCUGAGUCACUAAAAUUAGUCAAUUAAAUUAGUUUGUUAUCUUUUUCUUUUUAUAAUAAUAGUUGGCAAGGUUCUUAUCUAUAUCAAGAUUAACUUAACUAUUAGGUAAGGCUUAAGAGAACUUACUUGCAAUUAUUAAAUUUGAGUUAAUAAAAUUAAUCAAUAGAAUUAACUCGUCGUCUUUUUGUUUUUAUAAUUGUGGCCGACUUAGUUCUUAUCAAUAUGAAGAUUAAAUUAAAAGAUUAGGUAACGGCACCCACUUGCAAUUUAUUAAACUCGAUUAAGCAAAAGUAGCUUCACUUAUUUCUCUUUUUAUGAUUAUGGUCAGCAAGGUUCUCAUCAACAUCAAGAUUAAUUUAAAAGAUUAUGUAAGGGAACCUAUUUGCAACUUGUUAAAUUUGACUCAUUCAAAAGGUUAGUCAAGCAAAUACACUUGCAAUAAUUUACAAUCAAAAUCCACUUUAAAAUAAUAAAUAUAAGCUAUCUUUUUUUGGUUGCAUUGAACUUAUUGAUAAUUAGAUUUAAACAUAAUUAAUAUAAUUAUUUAAGUAUUAAUUAAGUUUUCAAAACUAAUUAAAAUUUAAACAUCACUAAUUAAAUGAAAUAGUAUAAAAUUUAAUUAAUUAUUAUAUAUAUAAAAUAAACUUUAAUUAUCUAAUUAAAAUUAUUAAAUACUUAAGUAUUACCAUGCCUAAGAAUUAAAAGAACUUUUCAUUUUUUCAAGGCAUAAAAAAAUAACAAAGGAAAAAUCUUGAUUCAAAUAAAUAAAUAAUUCCAUGGAAAAUAUAGAAAUGAAAAUAAUAUUUAUAUUGUGUAAUACUAUAUUGCAGUAGUCUACAAUUUAUCAGUCUUAUUUGGAUUGAUUUUUAAGAAGUCAAAAGUUCUUUUAUAAGCUCAAGAAGGACUUCUAUGUCUCUUUAAUUAAUUUUAUUUGAAUGGCUAAUGGUUUAAAAAGAAGAUAUGAAAACUACAUAUAUUUUUUUUUAUACUUUUUAUAAAGGUGCAUAGCACCUCAUGCUAAUAAUUUUGUAUAACAAAAUAAAUAUUUCAAAGGCACCUCCAAUUACCUAGAAAAUGAAUUUUCAAUUUAUCAAAUACUUAAUUUUUGUAACAAAGAUGUUUUUGAGCAUUAUCGAACAUUUCUAACUUUUCUAAAAUCAUGACCAAAUGACUCAUAAUCUUUUCGAAUACUAAAACAUUCAUCAAAUUAUUUUGUUAUGAGCUUUUUAUUUUAAUUAAAAGGUUAAAAUAAACACUAACUUUAUUAAUUUUAUGUUCCAAAAUAAGUUUCUUUGAAAGCUUGUAAUGUAAAUUGAUUAAUGAAUUUCAGUUAUGAAUGAUCUCGGGGAGUUUGAAUUAGAAAUUUUGAGAUAACACUUUUUUUUAAUUGUUUAUGAUUAAAUAUGUAUCAAAUAAACGUACAAAACUGAAAAGACUUUAGAGGGUGAUGAUAAAUCAAUUUAAUGACUUAAUUUAAGUUAUUAAAUAUAUUAAGCAUGUUUGAUAAAAUAAUAAAGUUAAAAAUGAUUAUGAGAAAUCAUCUUAACAAUUAAGACUCCAUGACUUAAAUACAAUUAAUUUAACUUAAAGUCAUCUUACCCCGAUAAAUAUCAAGUUUUACCAAAAUUGUUGUUAAUGAUCUCAAUAAUUUUUUAUUUUCUUUCUAAAUAAAAUUAUUUUCAUUUAUUUAUUAAUGGAUUAUGGAGAAUAACCAUCCUCUCCCCAUCCUCUUUUUAAAUUGCAUACCAAAAGUUAGAUAGAGAUUCAAAAAGGAUCCAUAAAUGCAAGUGAUGGAAGGAGCAAUUAAUUUGUUUUAUUAUUCACCAUUUUUCAAAUUCCAUUUUCUGUGAAUACCCCUCCUACCUAAAUGACUUUUAAACAAAAACUUUGAUCAUGUUUUCUAUGCUUGUUUUUAAAAAUUAUUUUUAGUGUUUUAUAGAAAUAAAGGUGUUUGACAAAUUAUUUUUUAAACCAGUUUUUAAAAAUAAAAAAUAAAAAUUUUGUUUGAAUAAAUUAUUUAAUUUUUUUUUUAUUUUGUAAAAAUAUUAUAAAUUCAAUUUAUAUAACGUGAAUUAAACAAAAAUCUUUUUAUUACGUUUCCUUCCUUAGGUUAUAUUUGGUUUUCAAAAUUUUGAAGGAAAGAACAUAAAUAAAAAAUAAACUUUGCUGUAGUAAAUUUUCUCUUCCUUUUAAUUAAAAAAAAUAUUAAGAAAUCAAAAUCUUAGCUGGAUCAUUGGAGUCAGCGUGGGACUUCCAGGCUGGCCCGUGUGCAUGCCAUUAUUUAUUUAUUUUUGUAAUUUCAAAGCAUAUUAUUUUUAUUUUCAAUAUUUUAAGACUGGCGCAUUUUUCAAGCUUAAGAUUCUCUUUAUAAUUAUGGACCUAUGGUUGUUGGUUGUAUCAAGAUUAAUUUAAAUGUUAGAUAAGACUUAACACAAUUUACUAGCAAUUUAUUAAAUUUGAUUUGAUAAAAUUAGACAAUAGAAUUAGCCUGUCAUCUUUUUCAUUUUAUAAUUAUGGCCGGCUUGGUUCUUAUAAAUAUGAAGAUUAAAUUAAAAGAUUAGGUAAUGACACCCACUUACAAUUCAUUAAACUCGAUUUAGUAAAACUAGCUUAUAAAAUUAGCUUGACUUUUUUGUUUUUUAUAAUUAUGGUCGACAAGCUUUUUCUCAAUUUGGGAUGACAAUAAGACGAUUUUUUUUUUACCUAUCUCUAAUAAGACAAAUUUGAAAUUUAAAUAAAUCAAUUAGGAGUGGAUUUGAGAAUUUUUUUUAAAAAAACCUAAGGCAAGUUUGGGAUGAGUUUGAGUAUUACCUAGUCCUGCCAACCCUACCUUGAUUAUACAUAAAAUUAAUUUAAUUUAACUUUUAUUUUCCUAUUUUUAAUAAAAUAAGUUAUAAAAAAUUAUAAUAUUUUAAUCAUUUAUAAAAUAUGUUUAUUUUGAUAUAAUUUAAUUUUUUUAAAAAAAUUAUUAUUAUCAUUUUUUUUUAAGUUAAAGCCAAGGUAUAGAAAAUUUGUAUACCCAUCCUGCCCUACCUCAUCCCAUUUAAUUUUUUUAAUAGGACGACUGACGAGUAUGAAAAUUAUUUUGAAUAAAUGAAAUAGGAGUGGAAUGAGUGCAACCCAUCCCCAACUUGCACUGUUGUCUUCUCCAACGUCAAGAUUAAUUUAAUAAAAGAUUAGGUAAGGGAAUCUAGUUUCAACUUAUUAAAUUCAAUUAAUUUAAAAGGUUAGUCAAGCAAAUCCACUUGCAAAAAUUUAAAAUCGAAAUCCACUUCAAAAUAAUAAUGAUGAGCCAUUUUUUUUCUUCUUGCAUUGAAUUUAUUGCUAAUUGGACUUAAAUAUAAAUAAAACUAAUUAAAAUUUAAAUACCACUCAAUAAAUAAUAUAAUAAAAUAUAAUUAUCUAAUUAAAAUUAAUAAAUACUUAAAUUAGGUUGGAGUUAUUUGGCCUCACCCAAAGUUCAAUUCGAGGUGGAUUUUUUAAUCUACGCAUAAUUUAAAUUGUAAAAGAGGCCAUCCAAGUCUUUUCAAAUUCAUUUAAAUUGUAAAAGAGGUCAUCCAAGUCUUUUCAAAUUCUUAUUGAGUUUGAAUUUCGUUAUGUUGAAACUUCCCAAAUUUGAUUACUAAUUUAAUCCAUGAUAAAUUAAAGUGAUGGUUUAAAAGAAUGAAAUAAAAUUUGAACAUUUGUCGAGAGAUGGACCGUCUUUAGUAUUAGUAAUUGGCUUCUGAUAGAUUUGCAAGGAUGUAGCACAACUACAAGGCUUGGUGCGAUGGGGAGUGUCUGGUGGUCAAGAGUGCAUACAUGAUCCCAACUUACUGUUUAAACUAGGCAAAAAAGUUGUCAUAGGAUGAUAUCUAACUGUAAAUUUACCAACAACAAAUAAUUGAUUUCGAAAUUAGGACUCCCAAGGGUGUUCUCGUUGAGUGGUUAUGCAAUAAAUGAGACACCAAAUUCAUUCUAUGGUUUAAAACAUUUGAUUCAAGAGAUGAUCAUUUAUUAUAAUCUUCAAAUGUUGAUACAAUCAAGUUAUAAACAUUUUACCAAGAUACCUAUUAACUUCGGGAAUCUAAUUAACCUUUGAUAUCUUGAUAUUAUUGUUACAAGUCUAUUAGAAGAAAUGUCUUUAGAAAUUGACAAACUAAAAGAUUUGUAAAUACCGUCUAAUAUCAAUCCCGGAUUGGAUGGGGAGAAAGGUUCAUGAUAUAUGUAGUGAGAUUCUCUUAAUUAUUAUGUUGAUGAAUUUUGAGCCGAGUGUUUUGCCCUAGAGACACCAUCUGAAUGGGCCCUUUUGUCCCAAAGACAACAUCUACAUGGAAAGGAGCAGUCGUUAAUUCAAGGAAAAAUCUUUCCACCUGAAUCUAAACUUUUCCAGAUGCUCGCUCUACAGCAGGUUUGGAUAGCCCAACUGAUUGAGUAGCCUAUCCCAAGAAGUCAAAAUAUGAAGUUUUGUUGAUUUGAAUCCAUUAUUUGGUCCUAAGUCGCUGAAUCUUUCUGAAUUUUCCACAGUAAUCAUUCCAAAUAUCCCAAAAUUUUAGUUCAUUUGGCUGAACUGCUAGGGAGUGAUAAUGACAAAAAACUUUAAUUUGAUUUAGGAGGGUCACCUGUAUCUCAAUUCAUAGAUUCUAAAGAAUGGAUUACUUAACAAGAAGCAAACCCAUCAGAAAUGCUUAACCCUCGAAUCUUACUACGAGAAAAUGGAACAUAAACAGCAAUGACCAAACGCUCAUUUUCAGAUAAUCAACGAAGCUAAAACCGAAGAAAAAUCAAACCAAUUCUUGAAAAAACAAAGCAAUAAGAGCUCUUCAAACUAUCAAAUUUCUAUAAACGCAGUAAAAAUAAAUAAAAAAAAUCCACAACUGCAACUAACUAGCUGAAAAGAAUAGUCCUUGAAAUUACCCUUUCAAUGGAUGACUCAGAGGAACGAACAAACCGGACAACUGGGCUGGCCUUGGGGUCAGGGAGGGCAUAGUUGAAGGUGGAAUUGAGGGGUCUAGAGGACUCAACCGGGGGCUUUGAUGGUGGGUUCGAAGACAAGAUGGUUUCAGUAGGAGGAGAUGGUGGCGGCGGCGGCGGUGAUGAUUCAUGAGAUGAUGAGCUCACGGAAGCGAGACAAGGCGAAAAUCGCCUGUGAUUUGUGGGAGGACGAAGACGAGACAGGGAGAGCGACAGUGGAGUGUAGGACAUUGCAGCGAAGAGGGCCAUCGCAGAGGGAACUGAGAGAGGAAAGGACAAAACAAAAUGAAGAAAGCGUGGUGUGAGCCUGUGAGGAGUCUGAGGACUGACAUAGUGACAUAUGAGGUCAAUGUUUUGUGUGUGUGGAGCCCACGGUUGCUCAUCACGCGGGUAAAUUAACGGUCUGGUUUAAUCGCAUAGCUCACAAUUCUGAGUCCGAAAAUCAUUUUAAAUACUUUCUUAUUUAUUAUGCUCGUAUAUAAAAAACAAAAUAUAUCAAUUAUAAAUUUCACAAAUUAAUUUUUUUAACCGUUGAUUUGGUUAAUAAAUAUAUAUAAUAAAAUUAUACUCUUUCUCGUAAUUAUUUCCAUAUAUAUAUAUAUAUUUCUUGGGUCAGAUUUUCUUAAGAUUAAUUUUGAUGAUUAUGGAGCAAAAAAUUAAAUUUUAGGAGGAUUUAUUCUCAGUAGAAAGGAUUACUUGGAGGAUAAUGUUGAAGGUCUAGGAGCCGAAUAAUCUAAGUAUGAGGAGUUUAAGGUUAUGUUUAGUUCCUUAAAGUUAUUAAGGAAAAAAUAAAUAAAUAUUAAGUAAAUAAAAAAUAUUAAAAAAAAUAAAUUUCUUGUAUUUAAUUUUAUAAUAAAAAAAUCAAACAUAAUUAAAAUGGUAAAAAAUUUAUAUAUUUUUAAAUUGUUAAUCCUUAUAUAAUAAAUGAAAAUAAUUAAAAAAAAUUAUUUUAUUUUAUUUUAUUUACUUUCCAUCACUUUUUUCUUUGAAAUAGUGAAUGAAAAAAUAAAAUUAAAGUUAAUAAAUUAAAUUAAUUUAAUUUGUUAUUUCAAACUUAUUUUAAAUUUUUAUAUAAAGAUAAAAUAAUUUAAAAAUGUAUAGAUUUUUAACCAAUUUUAAUUAUAUUUGAUUUUUUUUUAUUUUUCAUAUUAUAACAUAAUAUGAAAAAAUCACUUUCCUCGUUAUUUUUUUCUUUAUUACUUUUUGAAACAAAUAUAACCUAAGAGUAUGUUUGGUUUCUGAAAAUUUAAGAGAAAAUGUUAAGGAAAGAUAAAACAAAAGAAAAUAAAAAAAUAAAUUCAAAGUCAAUAAUUAUUUUAUAUAUUUUUUAAAAUUCAUUUAACUUAUUUUCCUCUAUUAUGUAAAGAUUAAAUAAAUUUAAAAUACAUCAACUUUUAACUAAUUUAAGUAAUACUUGAUUUUCUUUCGUAUUUUCUAUAUUAAAAUUAAAUAGAAUAAAAUCAUUUUUCUCAACAUUUUUUUUGCCUUAGCAUUUUCCUAAAAUCAAAUAAAACAUAAAAGUUUUGAAUUGAAAGCGUAUGUCAUUGUAUAAUUUUAUUGAUUGGUUGGAUCCUUACUAGGGAAUGAAGUCGUUUUUUGUUUUUUGUAUAUAUUUUGUGUGCUUUUUCUAUGCUAUUGAUAUGCGCUUGGAGAUUUUAAUAAUAUAUAUAUAUAUAUAUAUAUAUAUAUAUAUAUAUAUAUAUAUAUAUAUAUAUAUAUAUAUUUAUAUAUUUUUCUUAACUUCUUAUUUUUAUUUUUAAUGUGAAAGCACUUUUAGAUUUAGCAUGCCCAUAUUAUUAGUUGUAAACAAAUGAUAGAAUUGAAAAGAAUGGUUUGGGCUUUGUUCUCAGAAGAAACAAUGAUGGUAUUAUAAGUAGAGAAAAGGCUACAAAUUAUAGAUGGGAGAUCCUCUCAAUUAGAAGAUGUUAUGAGAGGAAGGUAAAAGAAAGAAUGACAAUAACAAAAAAUAGACACCAACCCAAGGCCCACAGCACAAAUAUCCAAGUCCACCACUGAAACACAAAACAAGGGUGAAGGUGAAGACAAGAUGGAAGGCAUUUGGCUUCAAGGGGAGAUAUGAUCUAUUGGCGAACCUAUCAGCUUCCUGAUCGGUUGCUCUAGACUUUCAACAGAAGGAGCAUCUCAUGUCUCUAGACAGCUUCUCUAUCCUUUUCAACCAAUGGUUAUGUCUCCAUAAACAACCCUUCUUUUAUUUGUGGCAGGUCGAUUUUACAUCUCAAACUUGCAUGGCAUAUUGCUGUUGAAUUGAAACCCACUAAAUUUAUUUUGGCAUUAUGGUCAUCCCCCUCUUAUGUGCUAACUUAUUUCAUUUUCUGCCAGGUUUAGCCCUGAAGCUCUAAACUGGCUGUUCAUCAAGGGAUUGGUUGGCUGGUUUUUGCAAGUCUCACUGCUGAAAGUAUCAUUGCUUUCAUUGGAUAGUGGGGAGGCACCUUUUCUGGACAUUGUGGCAUAGCAGCGUACACUUUCACAGGGAUGUGCUUGGCUGUCCUUGGGAGGGAUCAUGUGGAGCAUCUCAUAUUAUUUCUUGAUGCCCUGGGCAUGCCUAUGCAUGGGAAUAUUCUUGGUAAAGACCAUGAAGAGAAUCCUCUUUGCAGAGGUGAGGAGUUAUGUUUCCAGCAAGCAUCACUAUCUCUUGCUCCUUAUUGCUUUGGCUCAGUUCCCACUUUUCAUAUGGCUUGGCAACAUUAGCCUUCAUUAGCUUUUCUGAACUUCAUCUUUUGAUAAAUGUAUCCGGAAACAAUUUGCUUCUGUGGAAGUCUUAAAAUGUUGUAGUUUUGGUCUAUGAUCUCGGCCAAGUGACCAUUCUCCUGGACUAGAAAUAUUCUUUAAACUUAUGCUAAAGCUUAAAUAUGAUUCAAUUGUUCUCCUAGUUAAAACAGAAACCAAGCACUUGGCUUCCUUGUUCAGAAUUAUUUAUCCUUUUUUUCCCAAUUGAUUGGAAAUGAACUAGUUUAGCACUUGUACUUUGACAUGUUCACUUCAAGCAACUGUAGUUAAUAAAACAAUUGAGCAUGAACUGGAGUUGCCGAUGGAAUCCUGAAAGUGGAUGACAUAAAUUACUUGGUGCCUUCUUCUGGUACAUGAUACUCCUGAACUGAAUGUCAGCAUGGUAUUCAUGAAUCAAGUUUCAAAACAAUUGAGCUCAUAUAGAUCUUGCAUAACUGGAAAUCAAAGUGAAUCUCAUGUUGUUUUUGAUGGGUUUAGAAUAAAAUCAAUGACAUCACUAUGGCCUUUGUCAAUGACUUGGUUUUAAACUCUGGUUCAAAACAUCCACUGCAAUGGGAAAAUGACCUUAACAUCCAGUGAUGACUUCGUUUUAGACUCUGGUUCAAAACAUCCACUGCUAUGAGAUAAUGGCCAUAACAUCUGAUGGACCUCAUUUUCCCAGACACACGGAGAUGGAUUAGGUAGGGGUGACUCUGAAUCACUUGCAUUGAGUCUACUUCGUACAAAGUCCCUGAGGUCAGUUGAAGGUAGUCUGGUGAUCAGCUUGAUAAUUCCAAAUACUUGACGCGAGGCUAGAUGCUUGAGGGUAAAUCAAGAGGCACAGCAGUUGUAAAUCGUCUCCCCAUAUGGCAAAACCUAUUCUGUCACAAUGAUAAAAAGGUGUUCAAUUAUGGCAGGUAAUGGAGCUUCAGGCAAUAGGAUGUGAGACAGUGAGAGGUCAAGAUAGAGCAACAUACAUUUCUUGCCCAUGGAAUGAUGCCCAUCCAAUAUAUACAGACUGCAAUUUUUAGCAUAUUGAAGAAAGUUGGCCUCUCAUUAAGGCACUAAGAUCACAUUUAGAAAUCUCAAAGAAUUCUGAGAAUGUGUCGAUGCCUUGCAUCAUUCCAUUUAGAAAUCUGAGUUCCAGAAAGGUGUUAAUGCCGAUGUUCCGAAAUUUUGAGACCGUGUUGCAAUCUAUUCUCCUGCCACAGUAACAAGAUUUCUUUACAAUGAACAGUCAUGAUAAUUUCACAUCUGCUAAUGCUAGCAUAAGCCACAUUGAGAAAACAAUUGAUCCUUGGAUUAUUACCAAUCUCUAAGGAAUUGAAAAAGGCCAGAUGGUCAAGCUCCAAAGUUCUUGACGACAUUCCCAGUUCACCAAUCAACGAUAGUAUCAUACGUGAAACAGAAGACACAAAGUCUGGAACAUUCAAAAUCAAAAGCAUCUGUUUUGAUUAUUUAGCAAGAAAAAUAACAUAAUGGAUCUUAUUUGUAUGUAUAUCAAGUUUAACAACACGCCAUUGCAUGACUCCUUAAUUGGCUUCCAAUAUUCAGAUAAUUCAAAGGCACCAUUAUGUUUAAUUCCGAUAUAAAAGACUGUCAAAGAAGGGGGAUAUAAAUUUGUACGAGAGUUAACAAACCUCUGGUUUUUUGUCAGCAAAAUCUCAUUAACUGGAUUCCUGAAAAACGUAGUAAAAAUAAGUAAACGCUCAUUAGAGUUAAAUUCCAAAUCCAAAGUCAAUAGAAGGUUGUUUAUUGUAGAACCAAACACAAUUACUAAACCUUAUAAUGCAAGAACACAAAAUUGUCCAGAAACACAUUUUCCAUCUUAUCAGAUCCAAUUUAUGGCCUUCCUGCAUUACUGCAUUUUAUAUUUGAAAGGUAAAUCAGACAUUUUUUAUGUGAGUAAUAAGAGAGUAAAUGGCAUAAAAGGCAAACCAUACAAAUGAAGAAGUUGUAAACAUAUAAGAGUGCUUACUGAUCACUGUUGAAUGAUAUUUAAUUGUCUCUCUUUCAAUCUGCAAGAGUUUAUACUCAGUGAAUCACAGUAUGCUACCAAGAAUAAUGCCUCAUUUCCUCGUUGUUGGAAAAAAAUGUAGUGAAAAACAUGUAAGUUGCCAAUAGAAAUAUACUAAUUUAAAAAUAAAGCAUUUCAAAAUACAUAAGGUUUGUACAAGUUGUAACUGACCUGAAAAAAAUCUGUAUGAUAAAGCUCAUUUUAAUGAAUCCUAACAAUGGUUAAAAAGACAUCCAAAAGGAGGAAAGCUGGAUCAGCAUUGCGCAUCCACCUAAAAGGAGUAACAUGAAAUGCAUCAAAAUAAAAUGAGAUGAAAAGAAAAUAGUAGUGCUCAUAAAAAUCCUUUCUGCAAAAUAAUGCAUAAAGACGAGCAAUUCAUCAAUGUAAAACAAAUACAAACUGUUCUUUAUAUAGGUCAUAGUUCCAUCAGAGAGCAAUUUCAAACCAUCACAACAACUGAGCACAAGACUUAAUAACAUGGAUGACAAACCGAUCCUCAGAAGGAACAUAAAGAAAUGUGUGAUUCUCGACUCUCCAAGAGAUGUGUGACUAUUCAGUCUUACUGGCAGCUUCUCCAAGAUAGCACAAAAAAUAGCUUCAUGUCUACUGAAGACAGGUGAACUAAGCAGUGUCCAAGGAUCGGUGCCAAAAUCCUCUCUGUAAGCUAGUGCUUAGGGAACACCUCAAGUCAUAAACAUAGAAAAUUUAGAAAAAAAGUUAGCAAAUAUAGGAAUCUAAAAAAACCAAUAAAAAUGGAAAAUAAAAAUUGUAACUUACCAUGAUCUUGCUAAGCUGUUGUUUAUCCUCUUUCUACACUCUUAACAUCAACAAUAGAAACAAAAACAACAAGUGGCAAUAGGAAUUUGCCACAGUCACUAUAGACAUGGAGCCUCCAAAUAUAAAACCCGAAUCCCCUUCAACAAGA
rnacentral:lncRNA from 1 species